GACGAUCAGUAGGGGUUCUGAGAGGAAGGUCCCCCACAUUGGAACUGAGACACGGUCCAAACUCCUACGGGAGGCAGCAGUGAGGAAUAUUGGUCAAUGGGCGAGAGCCUGAACCAGCCAAGUAGCGUGCAGGAUGACGGCCCUAUGGGUUGUAAACUGCUUUUAUAGGGGAAUAAAGUGAGCCACGUGUGGUUUUUUGCAUGUACCCUAUGAAUAAGGACCGGCUAAUUCCGUGCCAGCAGCCGCGGUAAUACGGAAGGUCCGGGCGUUAUCCGGAUUUAUUGGGUUUAAAGGGAGCGUAGGCCGGAGAUUAAGCGUGUUGUGAAAUGUAGAUGCUCAACAUCUGCACUGCAGCGCGAACUGGUUUCCUUGAGUACGCAUAAAGUGGGCGGAAUUCGUGGUGUAGCGGUGAAAUGCUUAGAUAUCGCGAAGAACUCCGAUUGCGAAGGCAGCUCACUGGGGCGCAACUGACGCUGAAGCUCGAAAGCGCGGGUAUCGAACAGGAUUAGAUACCCUGGUAGUCCGCGCGGUAAACGAUGGAUGCCCGCUGUUGGGCCAACUGGUUCAGCGGCCAAGCGAAAGCAUUAAGCAUCCCACCUGGGGAGUACGCCGGCAACGGUGAAACUCAAAGGAAUUGACGGGGGCCCGCACAAGCGGAGGAACAUGUGGUUUAAUUCGAUGAUACGCGAGGAACCUUACCCGGGCUCGAAUUGCAGAGGAAGGAUUUGGAGACAAUGACGCCCUUCGGGGCCUCUGUGAAGGUGCUGCAUGGUUGUCGUCAGCUCGUGCCGUGAGGUGUCGGCUUAAGUGCCAUAACGAGCGCAACCCCUCUUCAUAGUUGCCAUCAGGUGAAGCUGGGCACUCUGUGGACACUGCCACCGUAAGGUGCGAGGAAGGUGGGGAUGACGUCAAAUCAGCACGGCCCUUACGUCCGGGGCUACACACGUGUUACAAUGGCAGGUACAGAGAGCCGGUCGUAUGCAAAUACGAUCCAAUCCUUAAAGCCUGUCUCAGUUCGGACUGGGGUCUGCAACCCGACCCCACGAAGCUGGAUUCGCUAGUAAUCGCGCAUCAGCCAUGGCGCGGUGAAUACGUUCCCGGGCCUUGUACACACCGCCCGUCAAGCCAUGAAAGCCGGGGGCGCCUGAAGUCCGUGACCGCAAGGAGCGGCCUAGGGCGAAACUGGUAAUUGGGGCUAAGUCGUAACAAGGUA
rnacentral:rRNA from 1 species